rnacentral:rRNA from 1 species
AUACGGAGGUUGCAAGCGUUACUCGGAAUCACUGGGCGUAAAGCGUACGUAGGCGGUUGGUUAAGUUAGAUGUGAAAGCCCCGGGCUUAACCUGGGAACUGCAUUUAAAACUGGCGAACUAGAGUUGAGUAGAGGGGAGUGGAAUUUCAGGUGUAGCGGUGAAAUGCGUAGAGAUCUGAAGGAACACCAGUGGCGAAGGAGACUCCCUGGACUCGAACUGACGCUGAGGUACGAAAGCAUGGGUAGCAAACGGGAUUAGAAACCCGAGUAGUCC